UGCCUCUCUAAAAAUUUUAUCUGCUGUUCACUACUCCUCGCUGACUUAAGCAUCGAAGAAUCUCCGCCGGACAUAAUUUCGAUUAGUGUAGACUUCUUUUGUAAGUGUUCUUCUCCGACAAUGGGUGCAACAAGAGAUUGGCCGCAACAGCACUCAAUUAUGGCAAAGAGAACAAUGGUGAUAGACGGUAGCUGACGAUGGCCAGCGAUGGACAGGAAAAUGAAGGAAUAAGGAGAGCUUUACUAAAUCCGGCAACUUGCCAACUUGAAUCAAGUCAAAGACAAUGGCCCAUCAACC
rnacentral:lncRNA from 1 species